rnacentral:rRNA from 1 species
GACGAACGCUGGCGGCGUGCUUAACACAUGCAAGUCGAACGGAAAGGCCCUGCUUUUGUGGGGUGCUCGAGUGGCGAACGGGUGAGUAACACGUGAGUAACCUGCCCUUGACUUUGGGAUAACUUCAGGAAACUGGGGCUAAUACCGGAUAGGGGCUCCUGCUGCAUGGUGGGGGUUGGAAAGUUUCGGCGGUUGGGGAUGGACUCGCGGCUUAUCAGCUUGUUGGUGGGGUAGUGGCUUACCAAGGCUUUGACGGGUAGCCGGCCUGAGAGGGUGACCGGCCACAUUGGGACUGGGAUACGGCCCAGACUCCUACGGGAGGCAGCAGUGGGGAAUAUUGCACAAUGGGCGGAAGCCUGAUGCAGCAACGCCGCGUGCGGGAUGACGGCCUUCGGGUUGUAAACCGCUUUCGCCUGUGACGAAGCGUGAGUGACGGUAAUGGGUAAAGAAGCACCGGCUAACUACGUG